rnacentral:lncRNA from 1 species
GGAGACCCAAAUGACUGUUCAGAGUUUCUUCGUGGGUUGUCUUCUGGCCUCAGAGUAUCCCUUAUCAGAACCUUGGGCCCCUGGGCCCCUUCACUCAGUACUUGGUGGACCACCAUCACACCCUCCUGUGCAAUGGGUAUUGGCUUGCCUGGCUGAUUCAUGUGGGAGAGUCCUUGUAUGCCAUAGUAUUGUGCAAGCAAAAUGAGCUAAGAAUACGGAUAAAGGUAUGUGAAUGAGAACAAGUUAUGAUGACCCCAGGAAAACCCUUCUCCGGGUUACCUAGCCACCAACUGUGACCCUUCUGAAGGAGGAGGAAACAAGCACUGCUGUUCAGUGAGCCUGCUCUUCCAAGAUGGCAACUCAUCUUUAUUUUUCUUUACUAAAUAUCAUACACAUUUACAGGAUCA